UACAGAGGGGGCAAGCGUUGUUCGGAAUUACUGGGCGUAAAGGGCGCGUAGGCGGCCUGUUAAGUCGAACGUGAAAUCCCCGGGCUCAACCCGGGAACUGCGUCCGAUACUGGCAGGCUUGAAUCCGGGAGAGGGAUGCGGAAUUCCAGGUGUAGCGGUGAAAUGCGUAGAUAUCUGGAGGAACACCGGUGGCGAAGGCGGCAUCCUGGACCGGUAUUGACGCUGAGGCGCGAAAAGCUAGGGGAGCAAACGGG
rnacentral:rRNA from 1 species